rnacentral:rRNA from 1 species
AACCAGACUCCUACGGGAGGCAGCAGUGGGGAUAUUGCACAAUGGGGGGAACCCUGAUGCAGCGACGCCGCGUGGGUGAAGAAGCGCCUCGGCGCGUAAAGCCCUGUCAGCAGGGAAGAAAAUGACGGUACCUGAAGAAGAAGCCCCGGCUAACUACGUGCCAGCAGCCGCGGUAAUACGUAGGGGGCAAGCGUUAUCCGGAUUUACUGGGUGUAAAGGGGGCGCAGACGGCGAUGCAAGCCAGGAGUGAAAGCCCGGGGCCCAACCCCGGGACUGCUCUUGGAACUGCGUGGCUGGAGUGCAGGAGGGGCAGGCGGAAUUCCUGGUGUAGCGGUGAAAUGCGUAGAUAUCAGGAGGAACACCGGUGGCGAAGGCGGCCGGCUGGACUGCAACUGACGUUGAGGCCCGAAAGCGUGGGGAGCAAACAGGAUUAGAUACCCGCGUAGUG